rnacentral:rRNA from 1 species
UGGUGGGGUGACUUGUCUGCUUAAUUGCGAUAACGAACGAGACCUUAACCUGCUAAAUGGCCCGCAUUGCUCCGGCAGUGCGCUGGCUUCUUAGAGGGACUUUCGGCUCAAGCCGAAGGAAGUUUGAGGCAAUAACA